UACGGGGGGGGGCAAGCGUUGUUCGGAAUUACUGGGCGUAAAGGGCUCGUAGGCGGCCAACUAAGUCGGACGUGAAAUCCCCAGGCUCAACCUGGGAACUGCGUCCGAUACUGGAUGGCUUGAGGUUGGGAGAGGGAUGCGGAAUUCCAGGUGUAGCGGUGAAAUGCGCAGAUAUCAGGAGGAACACCGGUGGCGAAGGCGGGUCUCUGGGCAAUAACUGACGCUGAGGAGCGAAAGCGUGGGGAGCGAACAGG
rnacentral:rRNA from 1 species